rnacentral:rRNA from 1 species
UGCCGUAGCUAACGCAUUAAGUACCCCGCCUGGGGAGUACGGCCGCAAGGCUAAAACUCAAAGGAAUUGACGGGGCCCCGCACAAGCGGCGGAGCAUGCGGAUUAAUUCGAUGCAACGCGAAGAACCUUACCAAGGCUUGACAUACACCGGAAGCAGCCAGAAAUGGUUGUGUCUUCGGACUGGUGUACAGGUGGUGCAUGGUUGUCGUCAGCUCGUGUCGUGAGAUGUUGGGUUAAGUCCCGCAACGAGCGCAACCCUCGCCAUUAGUUGCCAUCAUUUAGUUGGGAACUCUAAUGGGACUGCCGGUGCUAAGCCGGAGGAAGGUGGGGAUGACGUCAAGUCCUCAUGGCCCUUACAGGGUGGGCUACACACGUGCUACAAUGGCGACUACAGAGGGUUAAUCCUUAAAAGUCGUCUCAGUUCGGAUUGUCCUCUGCAACUCGAGGGCAUGAAGUUGGAAUCGCUAGUAAUCGCGGAUCAGCAUGCCGCGGUGAAUACGUUCCCGGGCCUUGUACACACCGCCCGUCACACCAUGGGAGUUGGUUCUACCCGAAGGCGGUGCGCUAACCAGCAAUGGAGGCAGCCGACCACGGUAGGGUCAGCGACUGGGGUGAAGUCGUAACAAGGUAGCCGUAGGGGAACCUGCGGCUG